UUGCAGGAGGCAUCGCAUGCUAUAAAUACUACACAUGCCAGCACAAUUGCCAGAGAAAUGAGGAAAGAAAAUUUCUUGAUCUGGUUGUUUACCCAGUGCCCCCUGAAGCUAUGUGAUAGAUAUCGUAAGACACAGAAGACAGAUGAUGACGUUCUUGAUUUCAUCUGGGACCUUUCAUAUGACUUCGCUGUCCAUCAUGCUAGAAGCUUUUCAAUUCUGCCUUGCUCAUUACUAAGGGCCUGCUAUUUCAAUCUACGCUGAUGUCAAAUCCUUCAGAAGAUAUAGGCUGCCAUGCUGGACUAGAGCAGGAUCCCGCCUCAGAGUACAACCAAUAUAACCUUUAUUGUAGAAUGUUUAGAGAGGAGACCAAGAUACAGUGUAUAGCACAGGAAGAUGAGUCCCAUUUUUUUCUGAGCUGGCAGCGGUCUCUAGAUCAGAAGGACAAACAGAUGAAAAUAUUUUAAUGUCCUGAAUCUGACAUGAAGUCUUACCAUUGUUAAUUAUGAAAAUCCGUGUAUUUUGUGCAUCCUUGCUAUUUUUAGUACCCAAUCUCACACUAAAUUAACUGUAUCACAAAAGCACCUUGCAUCUGUGUGUUUCUUAAUGUUAACAAUAACUUUCAAAAGAAGAUAUUGAAUAUAUAUAGUAUACGUGUGUGAACACAUGAUUAAUAAAUGAAACAGACCCUGCAAAGAGUCAAGUAGAUAUCUUGUGAAAACUUGGGUAAAUUUAGUAUAGGCCGUUACGAUUCUUUCAUUUAUCUAGAGUAAACAUAUAUUUUUCCAGACAAUACUACCCAUUAACAAAGAUGAGAUAAGAAACUAAGUGGGAAAUUAUAUAAAUGAUGGAGACAGUUUCAUUUGAGCAGCUGUAUUACAGUUGAUACUUUGGUCUCCUGUAUGAUUUGUUUAGAUACUCAUGCUCAGCAUCUCUGUAUCAAAAAUAACACCAAAUCAUCAAAUAGACUAUCAGAGUUGUAUGAAGUACCCUCAGAGAAGACUCUUUAAGACUUUUUUGUAUGGUGUUUCUUUGAAAAUUAAAUAAAAUAGUUC
rnacentral:lncRNA from 7 species